rnacentral:misc_RNA from 1 species
CCGGAAGUUUACAUCUGCAACUUGCCGAUUCAUGACGGAUGGAUUACUUGUAGAUUUCAUCAAACUGUUGUGAAACAUCACUUUAUUGGACAAAAAUGUCACGGGCAGGCCUCGAACUACUAUUUGACACUGUGUCGGAGCAGCUGACGUGCCCAGGGGAUGCUGUCAUAUGUGCCUUACACUGGAAUAUCGUUUCACAUGGGUUUAAAUGCACUGGAGUUGGAGAGGAUGGGCACCUGUCUAAAAAGACAGAGCGUCUACCCCCAGGAUGGAACAACUCCAAAGAGCUGUACACACUCAAGUAUAACCACACCAAAUCCAAUGAUGACUUUGUACUUAAAGUGGUGAAAAUCGAUGAAAGUCUCCUUGUGCAUUUCAUGAGACGGAGGGAUGAGAAAGUGUCCAGUAUGAAUGUCCGUCUGGCAACAUACACUAAUCAGGAUCUCACGGACAUAGAUACGGCCUUCAAGAAUUUAGAGGAGCUUGAAAAACACAUUGAAAAGGAAAUACUCACAGUUUUCCUGUCUGGCGCCAAGACAUCGACCUCAAAAGCAUCUGUAGCGAGGACGCAGAGUAAUCAAGGGAGAUCACCCUUGUUGGAAGAUGAUCCGUUGCGUGUUCCCAGUCGUAGGCAGCCUGUCCCUCCCGAUUGGAUGCCAUCCAGUGACCCAUUCGCUGUUGGACGAUCUGACCUUGACCCUUUAGCAGGUGGGAUGGGGGGAAUGCUCAUGGACCCUCGGAGAUCGGGUGUUCCUGGGUUUGCACCUGACCCUAAUGCUGGCCUACCAAGUAGACUUCCUCCGGGUGCAGUUCCGCCAGGAGCGAGAUUCGACCCAUUUGGACCCCCUGGAGCCAGACCUGGGCCUGAUCCUGACCACAUGAAACCUCCAGGCUAUGAUGAUAUGUUCAUGUGAACUGGCUAGUACCGAGUUAUGUUCCUGGCUCUGCUAAACCAUGUUAUCUGGAAAUGUGACCAGCCUAGUACUGGAUCAUGUGACCUUGCUACUACUGGAUCAUGUGACUUGCCUAGUACUGAAUCAUGUGACCUGGCUAGUACUGGAUCAUGUGACCUUGCUACUACUGGAUCAUGUGACCAGCCUAGUACUGGAUCAUGUGACCAGCCUAGUACUGGAUCAUGUGACCUGGCUAGUACUGGAUCAUGUGACCUGGCUGUACAGGAUCAUGUGACCUACCUAGUACUGGAUCGUGUGACCAAAAGACUGUUACUAAGUGAUGUGACCUGGGAGUCAGACCACCAUGUCCUCAUGGUACUUGUUUUAACUUGUAUAUAUUGUAUGUUGUUGAGUACAUGUUCUUGGUUGGUUCUCUUUCUUGGGAAGUAAAGAGUUUUUUGUCAUCA